rnacentral:rRNA from 1 species
GACGAACGCUGGCGGCGUGCUUAAUACAUGCAAGUUGAGCGCUGAAGGUUGGUACUUGUACCAACUGGAUGAGCAGCGAACGGGUGAGUAACGCGUGGGGAAUCUGCCUUUGAGCGGGGGACAACAUUUGGAAACGAAUGCUAAUACCGCAUAAAAACUUUAAACACAAGUUUUAAGUUUGAAAGAUGCAAUUGCAUCACUCAAAGAUGAUCCCGCGUUGUAUUAGCUAGUUGGUGAGGUAAAGGCUCACCAAGGCGAUGAUACAUAGCCGACCUGAGAGGGUGAGCGGCCAGAGUGGGACUGAGACACGGCCCAUACGCCUACGGGAGGCAGCAGUAGGGAUUCUUCGGCAAUGGACGAAAGUCUGACCGAGCAACGCCGCGUGAGUGAAGAAGGUUUUCGGGUCGUAAAACUCUGUUGGUAGGGAAGAACGUUGGUGAGAGUGUAAAGCUCAUCAAGUGACGGUAACUACCCAGAAAGGGACGGCUAACUACGUG